GGGGGAAUUUUCCGCAAUGGGCGAAAGCCUGACGGAGCAACGCCGCGUGAGGGACGAAGGCNUCUGGGCUGUAAACCUCUNUUUCUCAAGGAAGANAGAUAUGACGGUACUUGAGGAAUAAGCCACGGCUAAUUCCGUGCCAGCAGCCGCGGUAAUACGGGAGUGGCAAGCGUUAUCCGGAAUUAUUGGGCGUAAAGCGUCCGCAGGCGGCUUUUCAAGUCUGCUGUUAAAGCGUGGAGCUUAACUCCAUCAUGGCAGUGGAAACUGAAAGGCUUGAGUAUGGUAGGGGCAGAGNGGAAUUCCCGGUGUAGCGGUGAAAUGCGUAGAUAUCGGGAAGAACACCAGUGGCGAAGGCGNCUCUGCUGG
rnacentral:rRNA from 1 species